rnacentral:rRNA from 1 species
GACGAACGCUGGCUGCGUGCCUAAUACAUGCAAGUAGAACGCACAGUUCAUACCGUAGCUUGCUACACCAUAGACUGUGAGUUGCGAACGGGUGAGUCACGCGUCGGUAACCUGCCUGGUAUCGGGGGAUAACUAUUGGAAACGAUAGCUAAUACCGCAUAAUAUUUAUUAUUGCAUGAUAAUUGAUUGAACGAUGCUAUUUCAUCACUACCAGUUGGACCUGCGUUGUAUUAGCUAGUAUGUGAGGUCACGGCACACCUAAGCGAAGAUACAUAGCAGAACGGGGAGGGUGAGCGACCACACUGGGACUGGGACACGGCCCCGACCCAUACGGGAGGCAGCGGUAGGGGAGCGUCAGAAAGGGAAGAAAGCGAGACCGUGAAACGCCGAGGGAGUGAAGAAGGAGACCGGAUCGUAAAGCUCUGUUGUAAGAGAAGAGCGGGUGUGGGAGUGGAAAGUUCACACUGUGACGGUAUCUUACCAGAAAGGAACGGCUAACUACGUG